GGGACAACCAGCCGAAAGGUUGGCUAAUACCGCAUGAGUUCUACGGAAGAAAGAGGGGGACCCGCAAGGGCCUCUCGCGAGCGGAGCGGCCGAUGACUGAUUAGCCGGUUGGUGAGGUAACGGCUCACCAAAGCAACGAUCAGUAGCUGGUCUGAGAGGACGACCAGCCACACUGGGACUGAGACACGGCCCAGACUCCUACGGGAGGCAGCAGUGGGGAAUUUUGGACAAUGGGCGCAAGCCUGAUCCAGCUAUUCCGCGUGUGGGAUGAAGGCCCUCGGGUUGUAAACCACUUUUGUAGAGAACGAAAAGACACCUUCGAAUAAAGGGUGUUGCUGACGGUACUCUAAGAAUAAGCACCGGCUAACUACGUGCCAGCAGCCGCGGUAAUACGUAGGGUGCGAGCGUUAAUCGGAAUUACUGGGCGUAAAGGGUGCGCAGGCGGUUGAGUAAGACAGAUGUGAAAUCCCCGAGCUUAACUCGGGAAUGGCAUAUGUGACUGCUCGGCUAGAGUGUGUCAGAGGGAGGUGGAAUUCCACGUGUAGCAGUGAAAUGCGUAGAUAUGUGGAAGAACACCGAUGGCGAAGGCAGCCUCCUGGGACAUAACUGACGCUCAGGCACGAAAGCGCGGGGAGCAAACAGGAUUAGAUACCCUGGUAGUCCACGCCCUAAACGAUGUUAACUAGUUGUUGGGAAGUAAUAUUCUCAGUAACGCAGCC
rnacentral:rRNA from 1 species